GCGCGGGGUAAAAGUGAUACUGACCCAAAAAGAAAAUGCAAAUGAAAGGAGGUCGCAUACAAUUUAUGCGAUGUAUAAUUACAUAAAAUUUACCCGCCACCUUCCCCUCGUUUUUCCAUUUCUCUACAAACAUAUGUAAAUCCCUCAAUUUCACUCUCCAUCUCUCAACCAGAAGCUGAAGUACUUCCACCGCCGGCAUCCUCUGUUGCUCUGAUCUGGGAACUCAAUAACCAUCCGAAUUUGAAAAAGAAUAGAGUCUAAACUGUUUACUGGAAUGCUGAAAAAGUAUUUUUCUCUUCCCUUACCUUCGUCUCUCAACAGCGUUAGAAUCUAGUUUAUUAUUAUUAUUAAAUUUUUUUUUGUAAUUAUAGUUGAAGAGAUAAUAAUGAUGAAGAAAAUGAAAGCAAGGUUCCAAGACAAGACAUUUACUGCUCUUCUUCAGCUAACCUUCCUCGUAAUUCAUCAAAAAAGGUACUCUCUUUGUCUCUGAAUUGGGUGCCUCUAUUACUAUUCACAAAGUAAUAGUAAUCAAUUUUUUAACUGUUAAAAAAUAGGAUCACUAAUUGUGAUUUUUAUGUUAUCUCUAAAUAUGUUAAUUUUGUUUAAUAAUAUUUUUUUUUCAGAUUUUAUCUUUAGAUGAAAAAGGGGUUAAAUAUUGAUUAUUUUGAAACUGUGAUUAUUUUUCAAUUAUAAGAUGACUAUUUUUUAAAUUUGCCUCAAACAAGAGCCUAAAGUAAUGCAAGCUCUGUCAAACUGGCUAAGGCAAUUCGCAUUGGAUAUAUAUAUAUAAUCCUAAAAGUUUGAGCUCCAGAACUUAUUGGUAAUAAUUCUACGAGCCAAAAAUACAACUAACGUAUUGAAAAUAAUUGACAAAUACGCUUUGUUAACCUUUUUGGUCAUAAAUACUCUCCGUCAAAUUUUCAAGUUGAUGGUGAUGGAAAAAGAGCAGCUUAUAUAUAUAAAUAAUUGCAAUUUUAAAUCUCAAAAGGCAAGAAAAAUAAAAUUUAUAUAGGAAACGUUAUUUAAAAGUUGCUAUUAUUAAAUUUUACCAGUUUUAUUGAGUCACGAUUAUGCUCAUAAUAUUUUCUACGAACUGAAGAUCAUCAAACGGACUAUCCAUGUAAAUCUUUGUCUUUAUUUGUUGAAGUGUUGCAAAACACGUUGCCCAGGAUCACAUUAGAUAUAUCCAGGUUCCUUAAAACUGGUAGCGGUAUGUUUUGAAUACCUCGAUUCAUAUUGUGUGCCUUGAAGAUGUUUGACGAAAUGUCUGUGAGGAACUUAGUGUCCUGGAAGUCUAUGUUGGGUGGAAUUGAGAAAUGUGGGUAUGUGAUUUUGACGAGAAAGGUGUUUGAUUUAAUGCUCAACAAAGAUGUGUGUCGUGGAGCUCGUUAAUUGAUGGGUAUUUUAUGGAAGGGGAAUAUGCUAAGGCAUUGGCAGCUUUUAGGAAAAUGAAAGUAGAAGGGCCAAAAGCGAAUGUUUUGGGAGUUUGUGAGAUUGAUGCAAUCUUGAUUGUAAAAUGAAGAGGUGUCGAAGAGAGCGUCCGUCUGGUGAGCUCAAAGCAACUCCUGAUAUUGAAAGCACUUAUAAAAAGUUAUGCUCUUUAGUGUGUUCAUCGCAGUUGGGAGUUGUCCACGAAGAAAAAGUUUGCUUUAUCAUUUCUUUAAUGUUCGCCUAAAAUUCUAGACGAACAACGUCAUUAGCAACAUAGUUGAUUUCAAAUAUUCAAUGUUGUACUCUUUGAUCUUCAACUUGCUUCAUUUGCAGUUUUUCAACUGCAAAUCAUACAAAGUUCAUUAACCAUCUUCACGAGUCGUGGUUUUUACUCUAAUUAGAGCUGGAUAAAGAGGGAUGUGCAGAAGAUACUGGAAUACAAAUUUGAAAACGGAAGAAAGAGAUAUAGACACAGAAGCAGAACAUAUAAAAUUAAUAACAAAAAUCAAAUAGAAGUAACGAAAGCCGUUGAUUUUGACUUUAGCUGCAGAAUAAUAUUACGUAGAUUUAAUUUUAGUUGUACACUUUUAAUUUUUAACUUUGCACUCUGUUUAAGAAAUGAUAAAUGAAGUAUGUAUUUUAUAAUUUUACUCAUAAUAAUGAUAAAAUUUCAAAACGUAUUGAGAGAUGAUUUGGGGAUUGAGUAAUUAAUGACGAUGGUAGAACAAGAAACAAAAAUUUAUCUUUCUCUUGAUUUGCUAUAAUGAACAAGUAAAAGUGAACGAAAUGAAUACAUAUUAUGCUAAGAAAUGUAUGACAUACGUAUAUAAAUAGCGUGAGAACAUUCUAAUAUUUUCGCCCUAGUUAUUAUAUUAAAUCUAAGUUUUCUGCAUCAGUAAACAAAUAGAUAUUUUUAUGAUUAAGCUACUUUAAAAAUUAAUUAUACAAUGUAAGUAUUAUCAUUAACUUCAAAUUACGAUAAAUAAUGGUGUAUGUUACAAUUAACAAUCAUACACUAUGAAAUGAUUUUGCAGUUUAAGAAAGAAAAAUUUCGACGUAUAGCUACAUAAAAUUUCCUCCCCCUCAAUUUCACUCUCAAAUCUCAAUCUCAACUCCAAUGCUCUGAUCUGGGAACCCAAUAACCUUCCGAAUCUAAAAAAGAAUAAAGUCUAAACUGUUUAUUUUUCCAUUUGACGAAAAUGAAAGGAAGGUUCCAAGACAUUUACUGUUCUUCUUCAGCUAAUCUUCCUUGUAAUUCUUCAAAAAAAGGUACUCCCUUUGUCACUGAAUUGGGUGCUUCUAUUACUAUUCACAAAGUUAAACUGUUCUGAUAAUACAUUCUUAUCAAUUUUUAGCUGUUAAAAAUUGGGAUCACUAUUAGUGCUUUUUAUGUUGUCUCUAAAUAUGUUAAUUUUGUUUUUAUGAGUCAUGAAAUUGAAAUAUAUUCACACUAAAAUUACCUGAGUUGAUACUUGUACUGUACUCUGAUCAUGUUAUUCUUAUUAUUUUUGUGUUUUUUUUGGUGGGUGGGGGGGAGGUUAAUUUAAUUCCUUAAUUCUUUGCCCCCUCUCAGUCUCAGGAAUGAGUUCUUCUAUUACUUUAUUAUUUGUGUUUAGGUAGUUGUCAACUUAGUUACAGCAUUUUGGAGAAGAAUGAGAUUUGCCAGCUGAAAAGGGGUAGAAAGUUCUGUAGAUUAUCAAUGUGGUUGAAGUGGAGUGGCGCCACGGCCAAGAUUUUUGUUGAUAGGGAAUAAAAUUCGAAUUUGAAGUAGAGAGGUGCAAUGGCCAAGUAAGGUAUAUGAGGCCAUUUCUGGUGCUGAACUUUAAAUCUUUGAGAUGUAUUGGCGCUGGAACAUAUGAUCAACAAACUAUGCAUUUGUUGCACAAUUGUUUUCAGAAAUCCUAUAGAAAAGUGAUAAAUGAAAAAAGGAAACUAAUUGGUAAUAUACCCUACUAGUUUGCCCUGCACAUGUAUUCAUCAGAGAGCACAGACAGUGCAAGAAAAUUUCUACAAUAUCAGUUCAUUUAAAAGAUAAUUUAAAAUAUCUAUAAAAGUUCUGCAGUAUCAGUACAUUUGAUAGUGUAAAACUUUUACACUGUCGAUUGGAUAUAGGUUAAAUUCUUUAUGGAAAGUGUGAAAAAAGAAGAAGUGUCGUACUCCUAGUGUUUUGGUCUCUGCUAAGGUUUGAACUCUAGUCCUCAAGGUUUACAACCAGUUCACCGCUGAGCCAAACUCUUCGAUAUUGGAUUUUAAGGCAUAUUUAUUGUAUUUUGGUGUCUAAUUGAUAUGGGUAACCUUGGGUAAUAAUUAUUAUGAUUAAAUUGAUCUAUUGAUGAUUGACCUGUGGAUUGGAUUUGCAGAAAUUCUAAGGAAUUGGUUGAGAACAACUAUGAAAAGCAUAAUUGAGGGAACCUUGUGUUAGCCAAUACUUUAGGUAAUGUGCAUUGUGCCUUUCCAUUACUUGAAUUAAUUAAAAAGUUGAAGUUGAUAGAUUGUAACUCUAAACUAUUGGUUGCUUUAUAGAUUUGUUGACGAAUUGAGUAACAUGGUUGAUCAGAAGUUGAACUUGAGUAAUUGGCAUCUGGAGGUGAGUGAUGACUUGAACUAUGAAUUUUUUUUCCCAUAAAGAGCAUGAUUUGGAAAUUUAAUUCUUAAUUGAACUUCUAUGUUCGACAGAAUUGAGUUUUUCUGUAAAGAUAUAUGCAUCUGAUAUACUUUGGUAUGUUGGGACAAGUUUGAGAUUCGUAAGUUGAUACUUGAAAUAUGUACAAAGUAUGUCUUACGAGAUUGUUGAUAUGAUACGAACUUAUCCUAUUUGAGAUUACUAUAGUAAUUUUUUGCCUAUUUCAUUGAGUUACAUUAAGCUGAUGUUAACUGCAUAUUAACUUUUGGAUUGUGACUUGUGAUGAGAUUGGACUCCAAGGUGAGUCGCUAUAUAUAUGUCAUGGUAUAUUUAUCUGAACUUAUGAUCUAAAUGUUAUGUUCAGAAAUGCAGAAAUGUUUCCCCUUUUGUAGGAGGGUGAUAUUCUCCAUCCAAGUAGGCUGGUUUUUUAUAGCUUAGGUUUAGAGCUUUUCCUUUUACUAGUUUGGUAUUGACAAGAAGAAAGUGGUUCAGGGGUUGGAAAUAUUCCCCAAGAUUUACAACAUAGCAUUAGAGUGCUAAGAAUUUUCAAGUCGCUAAUGGUUUUUAAGGAGUAAGAUUUCCAAAUACUUCCACAACUAGUUCUUGAGGAUUGACCAAACAAACACCCAAGGGCAGAGCUAGAGUGCCGGAAACAGGUUCGGCCGAACCCAGUAGCUUUGGUUCAAACCUUAUAUUUAUCUUAAAAAUUCAUUGAAUAUGUAAAAAAUAUUAACUUAGAAUCCAAUAACUUAAAAGGAUUAGUAUCUUGAACCCAUAAGCUUGAAAUCUUGGCCCCGCCUCUGCCAAAACCAUUAACACUUUUCCUCUGAUCAUAAUAAAUAUAUUUAAGAGUUUGCCGAUUUGUGAGUUUGCCGACUUGCAGAGUUUCUCCAUAUCGAGCAGCUAAAUUUAAUUUCGUAAGUUAAUCAAACUAAUCAAGCUAAUCUGCUUGAGCUCUGGAUCAAGCUUGUUUGUGACUUGUAGGCGUUUGAGUCCACCAACUGAGGAUGAGAGUUCAAAUAUGUUGGCAAAAUAGAUGUUCUCUAACUCCAGAAUAUACAGAUGUUGAAAUAUAUUACAGAAUGCCUUGCCUUAAAUGUGGAUAAGCAAGAUAACAGUUGAACAAUUAAAAGUUUAAAACAAUAGAAAAUAAUUUUUCGAGUACAAUCUCAAAAACAAUUGUCUUCAAACCAAUUUCAAGCACCCAAAAAGAAACUAAGCAGAGAACACUGAAAGUUGAGAUAAGCUCUCAUUGACAGCGCUGAAAUACUCUGUAACGUGGCAAAAAUUCCGCAUCUUCCUUUUAUUUAUUAUCUAAAUAACCAUUGCGUCAAGUCCGCAUCUGCCUUUUUAUUUUCCAUUAACUGCUGCUUCUCCAGUUUCACCUAAAUCCAAAGCUAUUUAAUAUUCAUAAUUAGUAUUCAAGAAAAUACAAAAAAAUUAUGAAUUACCUAAAAUGACUCAUUAUAAUCGUUAUUAUGAUAGUAUCAAGUGUCAACCAAAUAAUAUUUUGCCAAUAAAACUGAUUACCAAAAAAAAAAAGGAUUGCCAAUAAAACUCGGGUUACUUUUUCACAAAAUGUUUUUCACUGGGAGUCAUUUUCUAGUGUUUGCCUAUCGGAACAUUUUCCAACAAAAUGGGGAAAAUGACUUUCUCCGUAAAACUAUCUUAAUUUUUACCUUCAUAUUAGUUGCUCCAACUACAUUAAUCUUAAUUAGCACGUAAAAACAUCUUGUUGGAUCAUUUUUAUUCAUUAAAUUGUAUGGUUAUUAUGGAUAAGAAUUUAUUUGUAAGUAAAAUAUACCUCAACCGGAAUUGACUUCAACCUCUCCAGGUUAGCAACGUCUUUCAUUCUCUUGGGAAUCUCCUUCAGCUUUGGACAGUCAUGGAUACCAAAGCCUUUAAUCAGAGGCAUAGCACUUGUGGCUAAAUGCCAUCUUUCUAAGUUCCAAAGACUAUCAAGACGAAGGAAC
rnacentral:lncRNA from 1 species